CCAUCUUGAAUCAGGUUUAUUAGCUUUGGAGGCCAUCUUGAAUCAGGUUGGUUAGCUUUGGAGGCCAUCUUGAAUCAGGUUUAUUAGCUUUGGAGGCCAUCUUGAAUCAGGUUGGCUAAAGACUGUCUUCAGUUGUACACGAACAUCAGUGACACUUUCUGUCUUGAGAUAUUUUGCCAACAGUCAACCACAGACAGGAAGUUGCAUCUUUUCCUGUCAGGAAGUGUGUUUUCUGACUUAUUUUGAUAGAAAACAGAACUGCUACAUGAGACGUUGCUGGUUCUGAUCCGUUUACUGGUGUAGAAUGGUUGUAAACGCAGCUCAGGUACUCCAGCAGAACUGGAACCAUGUGACCCACUUCCCGCCCUGCUUAGCUGUGAGCUCCAGCAGGAGGUGAUUGACAGGAAGAGGAAGUGGAUCUGCGUGGCUCUGAAGGAAAAGACCACAUCCUGAAAUUGCAGAGAGGCCUGUCGUGUCAUCAGAACCAGAACCAGACCUCGCUCUGAGUAUGUGAGCUCGGCUGUGAAAUCCAACUGGAUCCUUGUGGUUCUGUUGGGACCGAUGGCUCCUCUUUAUAAAGACUCUUUUCGUGGUUUGAGGAAGUUGUUCUGGUGUCAGAUUAUUGAUUAACUUCACUUCCUGCUGUGGUCCAACUGAGACCCGUUUCUCCAGAACCGUUCAGUAAAUGAUCCAGUGACCUGGUCAGCUGAGUGAGCUGCUGCCAGCCCUGAUCUUGUAUCGUCAUGCUAACGUUAGCGGUUAGCUCUGAGUAAAAUAAGUGUUGAAAUGAAAAACAGCCACAUUUUUACUGUGAAACAGGUUUUUAUUUUGGUAUUUAAAUAAAAUGAGGUAAAACGAGUCACCAGUAUUUAAUUUGAAUAAAGUUUAACAGAAGAUGAAUUUAAACAAACGACCUCUGUUAGCAUCGAAGCUAAAAUCAAAAAAUCUGUAAAGAUUCAAAGAAAAAGGAAAAAAAAAAAAUUAAAUUCUGUAGUUUGGUUUAAAGGUUUUUGUCAUUUUGGAAAACAAACAUUUUAAGGACUCACCAGAAAUAUCACAAACGUUCUGUUAAUUAAUAAUUUCAUWUAUAAAUGUUAUUUUUUCUGAAACAAUUCUUUUUAAAAGGAUAAAAGUUUUCUGGAUGAA